rnacentral:tRNA from 1 species
GGGGUUGUAGCUCAGUGGUAGAGUGCUUGCCUGGCACGUGUGAGGCACUGAGUUCAAUCCUCAGCACCA